UUAGUAACGGCGAGCGAACAGGGAAAAGCCCAGCACUGAAUCGUGCGGUUCUUUGAGCCGUUGCGAAAUGUAGUGUUUGGGAGGGUCCGCUAUUCCGUGGUUUUGCAUUGCGUCCAAGUCCUUCUUGAACGGGGCCUUUUACCCAUAGAGGGUGCCAGGCCCGUAGUGACCAUUGCUGACUGCGGAAGGAUCUCUCCCUAGAGUCGGAUUGCUUGAGAGUGCAGUCCUAAGUGGGUGGUAAACUCCAUCUAAGGCUAAAUAUAACCACAAGACCGAUAGCGAACAAGUACCGUGAGGGAAAGUUGAAAAGAACUUUGAAGAGAGAGUUCAAUAGUACGUGAAACCGUUUAAGGGUAAACCUGAGAAACCCGAAAGUUCGAACGGGGAGAUUCAAUGCGUUUCGUUAUGUGCGAGUGCCGUUUUUAGACGAUUAUCGUUCGCGUUAACCGCUAGAAACGUGCGCCGUUGCGUGGCGAACGCGUGCACUUCUCCUCCAGUAGGACGUCACGACCCGUUGGGUGUCRGUCUAAGGCUUGCAGUGGAGCCCGUUCGUCAGUUUCGGCUGUGCGUUCGGACCUGUGGUGUCCCGACGAUUGCUCGACGGUUAAAUUAUGGCGCAGAGCCGCGACUCGUUCGCGUUCAGAUCCGUGCAAGCGUAGAGGGUUACUCUUUUUCGGGACUUUGUGCCGAUCUCGAGGCCGUUUAGCUGUUUGCGUCGGUAUCUUGGGCAGUGCUCUCGUCUGUCAGUGGCGCUAUAGCUUUGGGUACUUUCAGGACCCGUCUUGAAACACGGACCAAGGAGUCUAGCAUGUGCGCAAGUCAUUGGGACUAUCGAAUCCUAAAGGCGCAAUGAAAGUAAAGGCAGAGUUUAGCUCGGUCGAGGGAAGAUGGGUUACUUCGGUUACCUCGCAUUCCCGGGGCGUCUCAUUCUCAUUGCGAGAAGAGGCGCACUUAGAGCGUACAUGCUAUGACCCGAAAGAUGGUGAACUAUGCCUGGUCAGGAC
rnacentral:rRNA from 1 species